rnacentral:rRNA from 1 species
AGCUCCAAUAGCGUAUAUUAAAGUUGUUGCGGUUAAAAAGCUCGUAGUUGGAUCUGCGGUCAAAGAUGCAGGUCGCCCAUUGGGCUGUACUUGUUAUCUUGACCUAACUUACUGGUUUUGUCCUGGUGCACUUUACUGUGUGCCUUGACUGGCUAGUACUUUUACUUUGAAAAAAUUAGAGUGCUCAAUGCAGGCUUUUGCCUGAAUAGUGGUGCAUGGAAUAAUGGAAUAGGACCUCGGUUCUAUUUUGUUGGUUUUCGGAGCUCGAGGUAAUGAUUAAUAGGAACGGACGGGGGCAUUCGUACUGCUACGUUAGAGGUGAAAUUCUUGGAUCGUAGCAUGACGAACAACUGCGAAAGCAUUUGCCAAGAACGCUUUCA